rnacentral:misc_RNA from 1 species
UUACUGAGUUUACGCUCUACAACCCUUUGUGAACAUACCUAUAACUGUUGCUUCGGCGGGUAGGGUCUCCGUGACCCUCCCGGCCUCCCGCCCCCGGGCGGGUCGGCGCCCGCCGGAGGAUAACCAAACUCUGAUUUAACGACGUUUCUUCUGAGUGGUACAAGCAAAUAAUCAAAACUUUUAACAACGGAUCUCUUGGUUCUGGCAUCGAUGAAGAACGCAGCGAAAUGCGAUAAGUAAUGUGAAUKGCAGAAUUCAGUGAAUCAUCGAAUCUUUGAACGCACAUUGCGCCCGCCAGCAUUCUGGCGGGCAUGCCUGUUCGAGCGUCAUUUCAACCCUCAAGCUCUGCUUGGUGUUGGGGCCCUACAGCUGAUGUAGGCCCUCAAAGGUAGUGGCGGACCCUCCCGGAGCCUCCUUUGCGUAGUAACUUUACGUCUCGCACUGGGAUCCGGAGGGACUCUUGCCGUAAAACCCCCAAUUUUCCAAAGGUUGACCUCGGAUCAGGUAGGAAUACCCGCUGAACUUAAGCAUAUCAAUAAGCGGAGGAAAAGAAACCAACAGGGAUUGCCUCAGUAACGGCGAGUGAAGCGGCAACAGCUCAAAUUUGAAAUCUGGCCCUAGGCCCGAGUUGUAAUUUGCAGAGGAUGCUUUUGGUGCGGUGCCUUCCAAGUUCCCUAGAACGGGACGCCAGAGAGGGUGAGAGCCCCGUACAGUUGGACACCAAGCCUUUGUAAAGCUCCUUCGACGAGUCGAGUAGUUUGGGAAUGCUGCUCAAAAUGGGAGGUAUAUUUCUUCUAAAGCUAAAUACCGGCCAGAGACCGAUAGCGCACAAGUAGAGUGAUCGAAAGAUGAAAAGCACUUUGAAAAGAGGGUUAAACAGCACGUGAAAUUGUUAAAAGGGAAGCGCUUGUGACCAGACUUGCGUCCGGUGAAUCACCCAGCUCUCGCGGCUGGGGCACUUCGCCGGCUCAGGCCAGCAUCAGCUCGCUGUCGGGGACAAAAGCUUCAGGAACGUAGCUCUCUUCGGGGAGUGUUAUAGCCUGUUGCAUAAUACCCUUCGGCGGGCUGAGGUACGC